rnacentral:tRNA from 1 species
GGGCCUAUAGCUCAGCUGGUUAGAGCGCACGCCUGAUAAGCGUGAGGUCGGUGGUUCGAGUCCACUAGCGGUUGUCA